UGGAACAGCUACUGGCAAGACAUGAGGCAAAGCAAAAUAUGAGAAGAACCCUGGGUUCUCUUGAACGUCCACAACCUUCAUCCUCCUCUGAGGCCUCAGGACAUUUCAAAACACUUUUCAACCAGAUUAUAACUCUGAUUUGGUACAGAACCCAGCAACACGAC